rnacentral:rRNA from 1 species
AUGUUGAAAAAUUAGCGGAUGACUUGUGGCUGGGGGUGAAAGGCCAAUCAAACCGGGAGAUAGCUGGUUCUCCCCGAAAGCUAUUUAGGUAGCGCCUCGUGAACUCAUCUUCGGGGGUAGAGCACUGUUUCGGCUAGGGGGUCAUCCCGACUUACCAACCCGAUGCAAACUACGAAUACCGAAGAAUGUUAUCACGGGAGACACACG